GACGAACCCUGGCGGCGUGCUUAACACAUGCAAGUCGAACGGAAAGGCCCUGCUUUUGUGGGGUGCUCGAGUGGCGAACGGGUGAGUAACACGUGAGUAACCUGCCCUUGACUUUGGGAUAACUUCAGGAAACUGGGGCAAAUACCGGAUAGGAGCUCCUGCUGCAUGGCGGGGGUUGGAAAGUUUCGGCGGUUGGGGAUGGACUCGCGGCUUAUCAGCUUGUUGGUGGGGUAGUGGCUUACCAAGGCUUUGACGGGUAGCCGGCCUGAGAGGGUGACCGGCCACAUUGGGACUGAGAUACGGCCCAGACUCCUACGGGAGGCAGCAGUGGGGAAUAUUGCACAAUGGGCGGAAGCCUGAUGCAGCAACGCCGCGUGCGGGAUGACGGCCUUCGGGUUGUAAACCGCUUUCGCCUGUGACGAAGCGUGAGUGACGGUAAUGGGUAAAGAAGCACCGGCUAACUACGUGCCAGCAGCCGCGGUGAUACGUAGGGUGCGAGCGUUGUCCGGAUUUAUUGGGCGUAAAGGGCUCGUAGGUGGUUGAUCGCGUCGGAAGUGUAAUCUUGGGGCUUAACCCUGAGCGUGCUUUCGAUACGGGUUGACUUGAGGAAGGUAGGGGAGAAUGGAAUUCCUGGUGGAGCGGUGGAAUGCGCAGAUAUCAGGAGGAACACCAGUGGCGAAGGCGGUUCUCUGGGCCUUUCCUGACGCUGAGGAGCGAAGGCGUGGGGAGCGAACAGGCUUAGAUACCCUGGUAGUCCACGCUGUAAACGGUGGGUACUAGGUGUGGGGUCCAUUCCACGGGUUCCGUGCCGUAGCUAACGCUUUAAGUACCCCGCCUGGGGAGUACGGCCGCAAGGCUAAAACUCAAAGGAAUUGACGGGGCCCCGCACAAGCGGCGGAGCAUGCGGAUUAAUUCGAUGCAACGCGUAGAACCUUACCUGGGUUUGACAUGGAUCGGGAGUGCUCAGAGAUGGGUGUGCCUCUUUUGGGGUCGGUUCACAGGUGGUGCAUGCCUGUCGGCAGCUCGUGUCGUGAGAUGUUGGGUUAAGUCCCGCAACGAGCGCAACCCUUGUUCACUGUUGCCAGCACGUUAUGGUGGGGACUCAGUGGAGACCGCCGGGGUCAACUCGGAGGAAGGUGGGGAUGACGUCAAGUCAUCAUGCCCCUUAUGUCCAGGGCUUCACGCAUGCUACAAUGGCUGGUACAGAGAGUGGCGAGCCUGUGAGGGUGAGCGAAUCUCGGAAAGCCGGUCUCAGUUCGGAUUGGGGUCUGCAACUCGACCUCAUGAAGUCGGAGUCGCUAGUAAUCGCAGAUCAGCAACGCUGCGGUGAAUACGUUCCCGGG
rnacentral:rRNA from 1 species